rnacentral:rRNA from 1 species
ACCUGGCGGCGGCUUACCAUGCNAGUCGAGCGGUAACAGGAGAAGCUUGCUUCUCGCUGACGAGCGGCGGACGGGUGAGUAAUACUUAGGAAUCUACCUAGUAGUGGGGGAUAGCACGGGGAAACUCGUAUUAAUACCGCAUACGACCUACGGGAGAAAGGGGGCAGUUUACUGCUCUCGCUAUUAGAUGAGCCUAAGUCGGAUUAGCUAGAUGGUGGGGUAAAGGCCUACCAUGGCGACGAUCUGUAGCUGGUCUGAGAGGAUGAUCAGCCACACCGGGACUGAGACACGGCCCGGACUCCUACGGGAGGCAGCAGUGGGGAAUAUUGGACAAUGGGGGAAACCCUGAUCCAGCCAUGCCGCGUGUGUGAAGAAGGCCUUUUGGUUGUAAAGCACUUUAAGCAGUGAAGAAGACUCCAUGGUUAAUACCCAUGGACGAUGACAUUAGCUGCAGAAUAAGCACCGGCUAACUCUGUGCCAGCAGCCGCGGUAAU